CAGUCGCCACGGUAAUACGUAGGGUGCAAGCGUUAAUCGGAAUUACUGGGCGUAAAGCGCGCGUAGGUGGUUCGCCAAGUUGGAUGUGAAAUCCCCGGGCUCAACCUGGGAACUGCAUCCAAAACUGGCGAGCUAGAGUAUGGUAGAGGGUGGUGGAAUUUCCUGUGUAGCGGUGAAAUGCGUAGAUAUAGGAAGGAACAUCAGUGGCGAAGGCGACCACCUGGACUGAUACUGACACUGAGGUGCGAAAGCGUGGGGAGCAAACAGGAUUAGAGACCCCAGUAGUCCCUGUCUCUUAUAC
rnacentral:rRNA from 1 species